AUGAACGCUAGCUACAGGCUUAACACAUGCAAGUCGAGGGGCAUCAGGAAGAAAGCUUGCUUUCUUUGCUGGCGACCGGCGCACGGGUGAGUAACACGUAUCCAACCUGCCCUUUACUCGGGGAUAGCCUUUCGAAAGAAAGAUUAAUACCCGAUAGCAUAAUGAUUCCGCAUGGUUUCAUUAUUAAAGGAUUCCGGUAAAGGAUGGGGAUGCGUUCCAUUAGGUUGUUGGUGAGGUAACGGCCCACCAAGCCUUCGAUGGAUAGGGGUUCUGAGAGGAAGGUCCCCCACAUUGGAACUGAGACACGGUCCAAACUCCUACGGGAGGCAGCAGUGAGGAAUAUUGGUCAAUGGGCGCUAGCCUGAACCAGCCAAGUAGCGUGAAGGAUGAAGGCUCUAUGGGUCGUAAACUUCUUUUAUAUAAGAAUAAAGUGCAGUAUGUAUACUGUUUUGUAUGUAUUAUAUGAAUAAGGAUCGGCUAACUCCGUGCCAGCAGCCGCGGUAAUACGGAGGAUCCGAGCGUUAUCCGGAUUUAUUGGGUUUAAAGGGAGCGUAGGUGGACUGGUAAGUCAGUUGUGAAAGUUUGCGGCUCAACCGUAAAAUUGCAGUUGAUACUGUCAGUCUUGAGUACAGUAGAGGUGGGCGGAAUUCGUGGUGUAGCGGUGAAAUGCUUAGAUAUCACGAAGAACUCCGAUUGCGAAGGCAGCUCACUGGACUGCAACUGACACUGAUGCUCGAAAGUGUGGGUAUCAAACAGGAUUAGAUACCCUGGUAGUCCACACAGUAAACGAUGAAUACUCGCUGUUUGCGAUAUACAGUAAGCGGCCAAGCGAAAGCAUUAGGUAUUCCACCUGGGGAGUACGCCGGCAACGGUGAAACUCAAAGGAAUUGACGGGGGCCCGCACAAGCGGAGGAACAUGUGGUUUAAUUCGAUGAUACGCGAGGAACCUUACCCGGGCUUAAAUUGCAGUGGAAUGAUGUGGAAACAUGUCAGUGAGCAAUCACCGCUGUGAAGGUGCUGCAUGGUUGUCGUCAGCUCGUGCCGUGAGGUGUCGGCUUAAGUGCCAUAACGAGCGCAACCCUUAUCUUCAGUUACUAACAGGUCAUGCUGAGGACUCUGGAGAGACUGCCGUCGUAAGAUGUGAGGAAGGUGGGGAUGACGUCAAAUCAGCACGGCCCUUACGUCCGGGGCUACACACGUGUUACAAUGGGGGGUACAGAAGGCAGCUAGCGGGUGACCGUAUGCUAAUCCCAAAAGCCUCUCUCAGUUCGGAUCGAAGUCUGCAACCCGACUUCGUGAAGCUGGAUUCGCUAGUAAUCGCGCAUCAGCCACGGCGCGGUGAAUACGUUCCCGGGCCUUGUACACACCGCCCGUCAAGCCAUGGGAGCCGGGGGUACCUGAAGUACGUAACCGCAAGGAUCGUCCUAGGGUAAAACUGGUGACUGGGGCU
rnacentral:rRNA from 1 species